UACUGGGCUGACCCUGGAAGGCCAGUCUUGUUUGUCCCCUGCCUCCUGGGUUCCGCCAGAGAGGAGCAGUGGAGUAAACUGCACAGACACAGAGAAAACCAGUCAUGGAGGCCAAGAGCUAGAGAGCCUUGAGUGGACGUGGUUAAUCUCACUUGGUUCUCCCAAGAGCCCUGGGAGGGGGGCAAUAUCAUCAUCAUCAUCUGACAAAUGAAGUGACCGGCCUGGGAGCCUGUGCUCUCCUGCUUAGCUCCAACAGACAGAAGCAGAGCUCAGGAAGGUGGAUGAGGCCAUCGCCCUAUUCCAGAAGAUGCUGUGAUCCACCACCCAGCUUCACCCCUCACCCCCAGCGGCUCACCAUGGGGAUGGCAGCAAUAAAAUAUUUUCCCACAAAA
rnacentral:sRNA from 1 species